GAAAGGAGCAGGUGUUAUUCAAAUUAACUGGGCGUAAAGGGCAUGUAGGUGGUUUGUUAUGUGUACUGGUAAAUUGCAAAGCUUAACUUUGUAAAUCAGUAUAUACAGCUAAACUUGAGUUAGGUAGAAGGUAGUAGAAUUUCUAAUGUAAAGGCGAAAUUUGAUAAAAUUAGAGAGAAUACCAAAGGCGUAGGCAACUACCUAAGCCUUAACUGACACUGAGGUGCGAAAGCAUGGGGAGCAAAUAGGAUUAGAUACCCUAGUAGUCCAUGCAGUAAACGAUGAAUAUUAAAUGUUGGGAGAAUCUCAGUAUUACAGCUAACGCGUUAAAUAUUCCGCCUGGGGAGUACAAUCGCAAGAUUG
rnacentral:rRNA from 1 species